CACGUAGGGCGCAAGCGUUGUCCGGGAUUAUUGGGCGUAAAGAGCUCGUAGGCGGACUGUCACGUCUGCUGUGAAAAGCUGGGGCUUAACCCUGGCCUUGCAGUGGAUACGGGCAGACUAGAGGUAGGUAGGGGAGAAUGGAAUUCCCGGUGUAGCGGUGAAAUGCGCAGAUAUCGGGAGGAACACCGGUGGCGAAGGCGGUUCUCUGGGCCUUACCUGACGCUGAGGAGCGAAAGCGUGGGGAGCGAACAGG
rnacentral:rRNA from 1 species